rnacentral:tRNA from 1 species
GCUGUGAUGGCCUAGUGGUCAAGGUAUGCAACUAAAAACCCAAUAUAGUUUCCCUGUGCAGGUUCAAAUCCUGCUCACGGUG